UACGUAGGGGGCUAGCGUUGUCCGGAAUCAUUGGGCGUAAAGAGCGUGUAGGCGGCCCGGUAAGUCCGCUGUGAAAGUCGGGGGCUCAACCCUCGAAAGCCGGUGGAUACUGUCGGGCUAGAGUGCGGAAGAGGCGAGUGGAAUUCCUGGUGUAGCAGUGAAAUGCGCAGAUAUCAGGAGGAACACCAAUUGCGAAGGCAGCUCGCUGGGACGUAACUGACGCUGAGACGCGAAAGCGUGGGGAGCAAACAGG
rnacentral:rRNA from 1 species